rnacentral:tRNA from 1 species
GUUAGCGUAGCAAAACGGCUAAUGCGCAGGAUUGCAAAUCCUUGAGGUCCCAGUUCAAAUCUGGGCGCUAACUCCA